UCUGGAACUUCCGCUACAGCGGGCCCCGGUACCGCUCCGGCCGCGGGUACCUGAGCUUGCGCGGCGCCGGCGCCAUCAUAUGCGCCCCUAGCAUGGGCUCCUCCCUCUCUACGCGGCACAGCGACGGCGUCCGCUCGGGCCCGAGGUGCCCCAGGUACUCGGGCUGGUGGGGUCGGCGGCGGUGUCGCAGGUCGGCGCCACGGCGCCGGCGGAGGUCGCCACAUGCGGGCGGCUCCCUGCCCUACCAGUGCAGGGGAUAGGGCAGGUGGUCGUGCUUGCGGUGGGACGAGGAGCGGGGGCGGCGGCGGCGGUAGCGGCUGCGUUUCUACGGCGGGAGAAAACGAAAAGGGAGGAGGGGAACGACGGCGCCGCUCGUCGAUUCGCCGCUCGCCGCGACCGAUCCAGCCUGGUCGAUGCAACCUAGGCCUGGGUCUGGUCCGCAGGGUGGGCCAGCCAAGCGAGCAAUGUUCUUGGCUGGCUCCGGCUUGCGGAGGCGGGGUUUAGAGGUUUGCGAACCGCGAGCGAAGCGGAAGCACGCGGAUAAGGGGAGGGGGAGCGGCGGCCGCUAGCGGCCCUAGGAGGCGGCUCGCAUCCUCUAGAGAGGCGCGGUGGAACGGCGAAGAGGACGCAGAAGGAGGCGGAGGCCGAGUGAAAAAAGCGCGAAAGGAUCAGCGCCUUAAACCGUACACUGUUCACCCUAACGCUCCCCCUUCCUCCGCGGGCGGCCGCUUGUCAGGAUGGCCGCCUCUGCGGACGCCGCGGUCUCCCGGUGGCUAACUGUGGCUCUAAAGGAGUUGUAGGGGACUAAAAAAGCCGUAAAAAACUCCCGAGCCGCAGCAGGUCCUUAAGCCGAUAACGUCCAACGAUAAUGUUUUACCAGACGUACCGACCUGUAAAAUUUUACCGAAGACACGACUUCGAUUACUACCUUUUAGUACGGUGUGGACUACUCCACUAAUUACUCUUCCCACGAAGUGUAUAGGAUGUGUUCGUUGAAGAAUCGCGUGUACUUGGUUUAAACGAACUACUUCUACUAUACGUAUAUAAGCCUAGUUUUGGAUACCGACUAGGUAACCUGGACCAGGCGACACUAUGUACGGUCUUCGGACAAUUCCGGUCGGUAAUACGUGGAGUACGUCUCGCUACAUCGAGUCCCUUCCACUUGGGUUUGCUAAGCUACCCACAUCUUCUGCUACAAGUAGGAUACUUCGGAGGUUUCUUCCCGUCCUUUUAUUUCGACUGUUCGUUACCUUUAGUUUUCCAUGUAUAUUUUCACUUUAAUUUCAGAGUCGGACUUUUAUUCUUGUAUCAGUUACUGAAACUCAACUGGUUACCUUUGCUCUCGUUUGUAAAUUUAAGAUAACGACUAGUUUCCAAGUUUUGUGGACGGUAGUUACGAGGACUUUCAGCAAAAUCUCUACACGGUCGAGGAGAACGAUGUUUUUACAUAGUAAGUGCCCCUUUGAUGGUCGAAGCUAACCUCGAACGAGUCGAAAUGGCACUUAGUACGCGCCUCGUCAGUGUGUCGAUACGUUCAUUAUGUUGACGUUUGAGCAGUGUCUUAUUACCCAACCAUGGUACACUAUUAAGUUGUAAUGUACCAAGACUACUAAGCCGUAAUGUACCAAGACUAUUAAGUCAUAAUGUACGACGAGCCUUGUCGUCGUGAGGAGUUUUUUUCGAAGAUCUAGUCGACGGACGUUCGUGUAGUCCCAACACGAGUCCUUAGAGAGGUGUUAAUAGUAGUUCGCCCGGUUCAGCAGACGUCCGUUGUUUUCGAGUCUCUCGUCUGUGAGGUCAUAGACGUCAAUCUUUACUUAACCCUUCUUCGUCCACGUUGUUUCGCCGUCAAGGAAGAAGUUUUUGGUGUCCGUUUUUCUUCUGCGUCUUCGUUAGAUUGCGAGAUGGACGUUCGAUUCGGAGUCAUCUCAUCGGGUAACUAACCAACAAGUAACCAUAUCGGCGAAGUAACCACUUUCAUUAUCUCAUAAAGUAAAACAAGUAAAUUAUACUUUAAACAAGAUCAGCCUUACUGAAACCCUGGCCUGCUAGACUUAUGUUCCAGUAAAACCGAACAACUGAGAACAAUCUUCGAUUGGUGUUGAGCAAGGCCGGGACCACUACAUUGAUUCACAUCUAUUUCAUAGGCGCUUCAGGAAUACAAAUACACGAGGGGAACAAUAUUUACUGUACUACUUACAGGAGGUUUGGUCGUCGUCGUAACCAAAUAAAUAAAUAAUCUUAUAGUAGCCAACGAA
rnacentral:rRNA from 1 species